rnacentral:rRNA from 1 species
AACGAACGCUGGCGGCAGGCUUAACACAUGCAAGUCGAACGCCCCGCAAGGGGAGUGGCAGACGGGUGAGUAACGCGUGGGAAUCUACCCAUCUCUGCGGAAUAGCUCUGGGAAGCUGGAAUUAAUACCGCAUACGCCCUACGGGGGAAAGAUUUAUCGGGGAUGGAUGAGCCCGCGUUGGAUUAGCUAGUUGGUGGGGUAAAGGCCUACCAAGGCGACGAUCCAUAGCUGGUCUGAGAGGAUGAUCAGCCACAUUGGGACUGAGACACGGCCCAAACUCCUACGGGAGGCAGCAGUGGGGAAUAUUGGACAAUGGGCGCAAGCCUGAUCCAGCCAUGCCGCGUGAGCGAUGAAGGCCUUAGGGUUGUAAAGCUCUUUCACCGAUGAAGAUAAUGACGGUAGUCGGAGAAGAAGCCCCGGCUAACUUCGUGCCAGCCGCCGCAGUAA